AUGAAAAGGUGGAUGCUACUCCUGUUUCGAGCCCUGCCACUGCUCUUCCCGUCCAGCACCAUGCCACCUAAGAAGCUGGGCUUAAGCAGCGAGGCUCUUUUCCAUGUCCUUACGACUCCAGAGGAUCCUGAUGGUUUCCUGCGCCAGCGACCACUGUCUUGCCCAGUCGUGCUUGUUUCUGAGGACAACUGCAUGAUCGCCAUUGGAAACAUGCCAGUGACCACCUUCAACAUUGAGAGGUUUGAUGAGGGACUGCUCUACCUCAUGGCAUAUUACUAUGCCCUGCACCUCACUUACCCAAAGUGUAUUUCCACACUUCUGUCAGUACUGCAAACACAAAUUCUCAGAGAUUCCAUUCAUGAGCAAGAUUUGACCCCUUCCUACAAAAAAGCCAUUGGCGAGUGGAAGUCCUUCAUUGAGUGAGUGAGUGAGUCUCUUUGUUUCUUUUGUGGUUGUUUCUUGACACCGCCUCACUCUCUAUCUCAUGUAAGACUUUCCAAGAAAGUCAAAGUUCUGUUUAAUAUAAGGUUUACACUGUUAGCCACAUUUGUUGGUAAAACUGAAAACUUUUCCUGUGGGAUAAUGUGCAAUAACAGCAGCUGCAAAGUUGUAUUAAUUGUUAUAGUAUGCUGCAAUAAUAGCAGAGAUAACAUUCUGUUUUUUGAUGGAUGUUUAAUUAAGCAAUUGUAUUGCAAAGUGAAUACAAAAUAUUAAAAUGAGAAUGUUUUGGUGUCUUGAUUUAAGACAAAGUCACUUAUUUUUAUAAUGCUAUUUGAAGAAAUUGUGUCUUAUUUUAACUACUUUUAUACUUGUUAUCAAUCCCAGAUUAAGGUGUAAUUUCUUAAAGUUAACACAGUCAAGAGACCAAAAUUCAAAUUUUAAGUAACUUAAUCUGGGUUAAAGUGGGUUUUCAUUGCUUUUUAUAGAAGAAUUUACUUAAAUUUAAGAUUUUCUGUCUAGUUUUAAGGCCCAUUUUAGUCUGUCAGAGGCAAGAACUUUGUGCUUAUUUUAAGAAUUCUUGUCAAGUAAAAAAAGCUUACCCCAUUGGCAGAUUUUCAUGCUAGAUAUAAGAUAAUUUGAUUGAAUUUAAGAAUAUUUUGCUUCUUUCUAGUAGGUCUGUUUUUGCAGUGCAUAUCUGGCCUGCAGCUCCUCCUUCCACUGGCUCUGCAUGCAUUGCUAUGUCUGCAUAUUGUUUUUCACAUAAUUCUGAAAGGGGAGUUUGAUAGAGGACACAUACCUACUGUAUAUACAUCCCUACAUAUAGGGGUGGCUGUGGCUCAGAUGUAGAGCGGGUCCACCAAUCAGAAGGUUAUUUACCAUAUACCUGUGUGUGUGUGUGUGUGUGUGUGUGUGUGUGUGUGUGUGUGUGUGUGGGGUGAUGGUGACGGUUCUUAAAUACUGAUGUUUUGACACACUGAAAGUCCUACUUAUUGUUAUGAAUAUAAAUAAAAAAUAUAUAUUUCAUCUUCGUCUGUGAUGCAGUUUGGCUAAGGGAUCUGCGUGUCUCACCAUGAGCAUGUCAGAUGUGGACCUUCAAACCUGUUGCCUGCCCGACGUUGUUUUCUUAUGUAUUUUGUCCUUUAAAAAAGACACAAAACAGUGUUUAUCCCAAUCUCCUGACCCGCCUCUUACUAAUUGACGUCUGGUCUGCUGCCACAAUGUUGAUGUAGCAUGAAAUUUGAUCCAGAGUCUGUACAGGAUAUUUUAUUUUGAAAAUUGACUAGAUUCUCUAUGACGUGUCUGUGUCUGACCUUCUGCCAGUCCAAUCUGCU
ensembl:lncRNA